rnacentral:rRNA from 1 species
GUAGGGAAUCUUCCACAAUGGACGAAAGUCUGAUGGAGCAACGCCGCGUGAGUGAAGAAGGUCUUCGGAUCGUAAAACUCUGUUGUUAGAGAAGAACGUGCGUGAUAGUAACUGAUCAUGUAAUGACGGUAUCUAACCAGAAAGCCACGGCUAACUACGUGCCAGCAGCCGCGGUAAUACGUAGGUGGCAAGCGUUGUCCGGAUUUAUUGGGCGUAAAGGGAACGCAGGCGGUUUUUUAAGUCUGAUGUGAAAGCCUUCGGCUUAACCGAAGAAUAGCAUUGGAAACUGGAAGACUUGAGUGCAGAAGAGGAGAGUGGAAUUCCAUGUGUAGCGGUGAAAUGCGUAGAUAUCCGAAAGAACACCAGUGGCGAAGGCGACGAUCUGGGCCUGAACUGACGCUGAGGAGCGAAAGCUAGGGGAGCAAACGGGAUUAGAUACCCUGGUAGUCC